UUCUCGAUACUAUUAUCAAUUAAAUUAUUAUCUUUCUGUUUGUCUGGAUCAGAUGUGUCAUUCUUGAGGAGGGUAACAUCGUUGCUUCAGGGCUUAACCGAACUAAUGAGACAGGCAAUGUAAUCUUUUAUAAACUUUUACCUAUUUCUCUGUAUGAGUAACUCUGAAACAUAAAACAAUGCGAUGACAUAGAGUGUUUAUUGAUUGUCAUGUUGGUUGCUUCGUCUAUGCUACUUACUAAGUCGUUUGUUAUAAUUUUGUUCAGAGAGGCCACAAGACAUGCAGAGAUGAAGCAAUCGAUGAACUUAUUGGACAAUGGCAAAAAGAUAGACUUUCACCUUCACAAGUCGCUGAGAAAUUCUCGAAAUGCGUUCUUUACGUAACAUGUGAACCUUGCAUAAUGUGUGCAUCGACCCUAUCCUUCCUCGGUAUAAAGGAAGUAUAUUAUGCAUGCGGAAAUGAUAAAUUUGGGGGUUGUGGUUCCAUAUUUUUGCUUCACUUAGAGAGUUCUUAGACAUAAGAUAUCCUUUGUAGACCCUAAAUAUCACACUACAAACUUAUUAGAAAAAAAUCGGCCUUAUUAAUUGAAGUCUGUGAUCUCUGUUUUUUUUAUAGUGAAGAAGCUCAAAGAGGAAAAGUGCAGAGGAAUAAUGGCAGACGCAGCUGUAUCUCUUUUCAACUCUGUUCUUUGAUGAAACAUCUUAAACACAGUUUUUUUUUUUUUUUGUAGUUUUAGCCCCAAAGCCACACCGCCCUGUAGUUCAAAGAGAGAGGACUUAGCCUCUUAGACGCGGACAUGGUUUGAAAAUUGGAGUUUCUGAUUAAAAUAUGAAGAAGUUGAGGUGGAGGUUGUCAAAUGAUGAUUCUAUGUUUGUUUUUGCUACAUUUGGCACAUGAAACGUUAUCAAUUACAUCCAAAACAAUUGUAUAUCCGCCUAAGUUGGAGCUCUCAAUCUCAAGCUACUAAGUUGGUUUUCUAACUUAAGGAAUUAGUUGUAUGUGACUGUAAAGUUUUAUUUUUGUACGGGUAGAUGAUAGACAUGACCAUCACUAGAAGAAUAAAAGAUUAACUCAGUUUUUA